CUUGGCCAUCCUGCAAAAGCCCACGAGCUGCUGGCACGAAGGAAACCCUGGUCCUGUCCCCCCAGCUCACACAGAUGCUGCAGAGAUGAGUCUCUUCUGCCAAGGCACAGCUUACACACAAAAGGUAGCAAAGCAUCCAACCAAGCAGCUGGAGCUCCUGCCUCUCUGGACAGUGCACCAGGAUACAACGUACCUUCUGCAGGACCAGUGCUCUGACCCAUCGAACACCUCAGCCUGCCUUCAGUCUGGGGCAAAGGAUGGACAGUGUUUGCUGCCACCUCAGACCAUGGCCCCUGCUCCUCAGUGCCCCUGUGCAAUGCUCAACAGCACUUCAGCUGCUCUUUCAGCUCCAAGGAAGUCAGAGACAUUUGCCUGCAGGUGGGUGGGGAGGAGCACUGAACCUCCUUGAGUUCGCUUCUGCUAAAAGCCAACCUCAGCUGCUGCCACCUCACUCUCCUGCACCUCGUGCUCCAUUCUGGGAUGUGAAGCUGCACUGAGACAGUUGAGGGCAGCUGUGUGUGGCCCUUAGCAAGGGCAACCUCCCUAACACAGACUAGACAGCUCACUGCAGGAAAAUUCGGAAGUUUGGGUUCCUGGAAAGCCACUCUGACCAGGUCUGCAGCAGCCCUCCACCAUCAGCCCACAGGGAUGGCAGAACAAGCCUGAUUCAACCCACUGCAGCUUCCAUGGCAAAGCAAGGUCAGGCUGAGCUGCACACGGGCACCUCAAGUUUCUUCAACCAUGCCACAAAGCAGAACCCAAACACAUGGAGCUUGACCUAUUUUCUGCAAAAGCUAUGUGAUCACAGACUGAUUUAGGGCAGUGGUGGACACUGCUUCACCUGCACAUGGGAAGUGGAGCUCAUGCUGGAGCUCUGAAGCCUGGGUACGUUGGAGGGAACAACAGCAUGCUGGAGACCUUCAGCAGCCUGGCCUGAAUGCUGCACAGGCUGCACAUGGCACGCUGGGCUCAGGGCCUCUCUAGUACUUAUGCUUGGUAUUAACAGUUCAGGCAAAAAUAAUUACUUUGGACCCUUGGGGA